UAUAAACCCACAUGUACUGGCGGUUUCAAUUUAUUAGAGAAGCUCGCUUUAUAAUCGUCAUUACUCGCUAAAUUUAACUUAACUUUAAAGUUUAUAUACCGCCGUUAAGAUUCCUAACAAUGCACAAAUCUUAGUCCUCAAACCAGCCAAAAAUCAGGUCAAGGUGUAACCAAUAAUUAAGGAAAAGUAAGCUACAUUAAAUAUAAUUUAAGGAAAAAAUAUAAAAAUAAAAGUGAAAAAGAAUCUAAAUUUAAAUUAAAAUUAAAAUUUUUAAUUGAAACAAAAAUAGAAAUGCACACAU
rnacentral:rRNA from 1 species